UACGUAGGUGGCGAGCGUUGUCCGGAUUUACUGGGCGUAAAGGGCGUGCAGGCGGUUUGUUAAGUGCAGGGUGAAAGCUCCCGGCUCAACUGGGAGAGGUCCUUGCAUACUGGCGAACUCGAGGGAGGCAGAGGAAAGUGGAAUUCCCGGUGUAGUGGUGAUAUGCGUAGAUAUCGGGAGGAACACCUGUGGCGAAGGCGGCUUC
rnacentral:rRNA from 1 species